GUGACGCUGUGGGGUGACGCUAUGGGGCUGCCCCACAGCUACCCCAUGGCGUUGGGCAACCUGGCCGACCUGGAGGAGUUGGAGCCGACGCCGGGGCGGCCGGACCCACUGACGCUGUACCAUGAGGUGGGGGGCGGCGCCGCUAUGGGGCAGGGUCGCUAUGGGGCGGCGUCUCUCUCUAUGGGUCUCUAAGGGAUCUCUGUGGGUCUCUCUGGGGUUCUAUGGGUCUCUAUGGGGCGGCGUCUCUCUCUAUGGGUCUCUAUGGGUCUCUAUGGGGCGGCGUCUCUAUGGGGCUCUAUGGGUCUCUAUGGGGUGGCGUCUCUACGGGUCUCUAUGGGGUUCUGUGGGUCUCUAUGGGGUGGCGUCUCUACAGGGCAUCUCUAUGGGUCUCUAUGGG
rnacentral:lncRNA from 1 species